ACGCGUUGAGCACAGAAGCAUGGGGCGUCGCGAGCAGGCAAAGCGUGACGGAGACGUGGUUGAGGUCGGCGAGGCUGAGGAAGUCUCCGGCGAGGUACUUGUGCUUGGCGAGCCGCGCCUCGUACACCUCCAGCACCUUCUUCAGCUUCUCCAGGUUCUCCUCCACCACUUUCUGGUCGGUGGUGCCGCCGAACAUAGGGCUGACGAGGCACUCGUACAGGAUAGGGUUCAGGGCGGCGGUGUACUGGUUGGACUCCACCUCCAGCCACACGUCCACCAUGGCUGACUCCUGGAGGUUGCCUUCCCUCAGCAGCUCUGCUGCCUUGUUCUUGCGGGCAACGUACUUGCAAAUCGCACGCGAUUCUGGCAAAAAAAACAUACCAUUUUUGUGAUGCAUAUAUAUAUAUAUAUAUAUGAUGGCAGGGGUGAAUACUACUAUACUGUCAUAUUUAC
rnacentral:lncRNA from 1 species